AGAAGCUGAGAAGGGCAGCUUGCCAGGAAGGCCUGCCCUGGGGAGCCCACGGUGGUGCGGCAGCCCCGGAAAAGCCAUUUUUAAAUCGUCUGCAUGCCUAGUGCAACAGGGUGGAUCCCCGGAGCGACCGCAUCCUUCCCGGACUCCAAGUUGGAGUUCUCUUUCUACGCAGAAUGAUGCUGACUGAGCUUUCAACACUCCAAAGCAAUCACGUCACUUCUUCAAGAGGCCCCGGGGUUCCUGAAUAAAGGGCAAGCCCUUAGCUUGACAUGCAAGCCAAGCCCUGCUGUAAGCCAGUCCCUGCCUUCGGCUCUGGGUGCAGAUCCCACCAUGCAUUUGGGGCUCCAUGGUCUUCUAUGUGACAGAAGAGCAGGUGGCACCCUACUCCCUCAUCAUUGGUGAGGACCUCUAAGAGCCUCACUCCAGCCCAUGGAGCUGGGGUUCAACUCGGAGAUGACUCUAAAGCCUGUGCUGAAAACAAAGAUUAUUGGGACCCAACUUAGAGAGCAAUUCAAUAAAUUAAAUCGAUAGUGUCAAAAACAUUCAUAGUUCUUAAUCUAUUAAAUUAAAUAUUGUGACAAAUUGCAAAAACAUUAAUAAAUGUGUUAAAGGCAGAGUUCCUUAUAAUAAUAAAAAAUUAGAAAUUAAUACAAAUGUUUAACCAUAUGGGCCUUGUUAAAUCAAUUAUGUAAUGCAAUCAUUGAAAAUAAUCUUUAUGAGGACUUUAAAGUGGGAAACUAAUUGUAUUAUAGCAUGUCAAGUGGAGAGAAAACAACACAUAAAACUGUAAUAGAACUAUGGUAGUCAUAACUGUAAAAAAGGAAAUUUUAAAUGUGUAGA